rnacentral:rRNA from 1 species
CAGUCGCCGCGGUAAUACGAAGGGGGCUAGCGUUGUUCGGAUUUACUGGGCGUAAAGCGCACGUAGGCGGACUUUUAAGUCAGGGGUGAAAUCCCGGGGCUCAACCCCGGAACUGCCUUUGAUACUGGAAGUCUUGAGUAUGGUAGAGGUGAGUGGAAUUCCGAGUGUAGAGGUGAAAUUCGUAGAUAUUCGGAGGAACACCAGUGGCGAAGGCGGCUCACUGGACCAUUACUGACGCUGAGGUGCGAAAGCGUGGGGAGCAAACAGGAUUAGAUACCCCAGUAGUCCCUGUCUCUUAUAC